GUGGCAGCAGACCAGCCGGACUCUCAGGCAUGGACCUGUGUGGGAAGUUCAAGGAGAGCAAGAUGAAGGAAGAUAACAACAAAGAAUGUAAAUGCUUGUUUCUGUGAAAGCUCCUAUUCAAAUCAGAUCUUCAGCUCCCAGAAAAAUCCUGAUUCAUGAGAGAGAAACAGAAUACCAUGAGAGGCCAAAGAGGAAAGUCCUUCGCAGGAGCUCAUUGUGGCUGGAUGUGUCUGGUCACCCCUCCUGCUGCCUGGGAAGCCAAGCUGGUCCAUGCUAUGUGUCUGAGAAGCACUGGAGUUAG
rnacentral:lncRNA from 1 species